rnacentral:rRNA from 1 species
UCGAACGGGGAUAAGACAUCGGAAGAGCUGCUUGCAGAAUGGAAGAAGUCAUAUUCUAGUGGCGGACGGGUGAGUAACGCGUGGGCAACCUGCCUUAUACAGGGGGAUAACAGCUGGAAACAGCUGCUAAUACCGCAUAAGCGCACAGCGGCGCAUGACGCAGUGUGAAAAACUGAGGUGGUAUAAGAUGGGCCCGCGUCUGAUUAGCUGGUUGGGAGGGUAACGGCCUACCAAGGCGACGAUCAGUAGCCGGCCUGAGAGGGCGGACGGCCACAUUGGGACUGAGACACGGCCCAGACUCCUACGGGAGGCAGCAGUGGGGAAUAUUGCACAAUGGGGGGAACCCUGAUGCAGCGACGCCGCGUGAGUGAAGAAGUAUUUCGGUACGUAAAGCUCUAUCAGCAGGGAAGAAAAAAGGACGGUACCUGAGUAAGAAGCCCCGGCUAACUACGUGCCAGCAGCCGCGGUAAUACGUAGGGGGCAAGCGUUAUCCGGAAUUACUGGGUGUAAAGGGAGCGUAGACGGCAAUGCAAGUCCGGAGUGGAAUGCGGCAGCUCAAC